rnacentral:lncRNA from 7 species
GGCCUUUGCCAUGAUGGGUGCGCUCGCAUGGCAGGCCAGGUAUUAAUAAAAAGAUGAUUAUUGUGUGCCGGGGGAGGAGAUCGCACGGGGGUUGAUGUUUUUGGCCCCGGGGUCUCCUCCCUCAUCUUGUUCCGUGUUCCUGUAUCCGUUGUUUCCGCGCCUGUUGGUCCGCUGCGCACGCCGGAUUUUUGCAUCGAGCACGGAGAUCUACAACAAAAACAUGGAGCUACGACGCGACUCCCAAGGUACAAUCGGUAAUUAUGUUCAAACAAUUUUUAAGUCGUUCUGCGCUCCUUCUAUUACGAGCAACGUUUUAUAUUCUGUGCUUGCAUAAUGAAUCGAAGAAAUCCUGACACCAAUCGAACUGAAGAUCCUGAAACGCACGUUAAUACCGUUGACGUCCGCUUCACCCAGCUCGAUUUUCAGUCUUGUAAUACUAAUCGCUCCAUGAGUCUGAAGUGUGCAAAAAUUUAGGUCGCAGCUACACAAAUUUACAUGCUGGUUCUGUUCAACCCGUGAAUCUCCUAAGGUCACAGCGUUUUUAUUUCAUUCUAUAUUAUAUUUCAGUCUGGACUAAUGUUGAGAUCUCCAUAUGUAUCUACGUCUAAGCAUUUUUCAUUUGUAUUUACCAUGUUGGUCAAUUGGGAUAUUUGUUUCUUGUAUGUUAGCAUGUUUGAACCAUAGCAAUUGGUGGACGUGUGUAGAGAAGAUUGCAAAACUGCAGUAUGAUGGAUUCCACUAUUCAUCAACCGAGAUCAUGGCGCGCUUCAAUCGUGGCUACGCUGAUGGGGAAUUGAUCCGUUAUGGCUCGUGGCUGUGGAGAUGUGGAACUCAUUGGUUAUAGUGUGCUUCAAUCAUGGGUCAUGGCGAUGCUGAUGGAACUGAUUUGUUACCAAGGUUUAAGUUUUCGCUACCGUUGGACGGCCUGACUGGUACUUUGCCCUGUUGACUGUUUGAGAACGUACUGCCCAGGUUUACUUAAUACUUGCUGCUUUUUGACGGUACUGUACAUAUUGUUCGACAAUUUAUUUCUUGGCAGUUCAAUUCGUCCAUUUAGAAUUUCUAGGGGCACGAGAGCAUGUGUUACCCUGGAGAUCAAUUUCAUGCUGCUUUUUGUAAUUGAUCAUGCUGCUUUUUGUUACAAAGUUCCCUAUUCUAUUUUCAAUUUGAUUGAGGGUUGCAAAAUUCAUGGCGUUGUGAGGGAAUUGAUUCCAGUGAAGGCGAUGGCGACUGGUAAUUUGAUAUCGGUGGGUUGGGAAUUAGACUAUCUCCACCAGAUUGUCUAUAUUCAAAUUACGCUCUACAAACAAUAUAAUUUACACUAUGGGUCUACUAUAUUGUAGAUUGUACUGUUUAUAAAUUGUAGUUUUAAUAUCUAAUUGUAGAUUGCAUUGUUUAUAAAUUGUUUAUAGAUUGUUUAUAAAUUGUAGGUGUUUUAAUUAUAUAUGGUCAUUCAUAUAAUAGAGUUUUGGGAUUAAGGGCCCCUUUGGUAGGGCUCUGGCUUCUCCAAAAACGGCUUUAACUCUGGCUCACGAGGUGAAACCACUUCUUUAGAUGAGACAAAGUUAUUUUAAAAAAUCAUUUGGCAAAACGGCUUAUAGGUUGUUUUUCAGAAAGAUCCUUAUAUAUGUAUAUCUCUCCUGUACGUGGCUAGGGAUUGAGGGCAGGACCAAAAAAUAAUAAUCUGGACUGGUGGGAGGACUAUAGUGCAAAAAUAACGUGAGCCGAAGCCGGGUGAGCCACUUUUUUUUAGUUCAUUUUGGAAAAGUACUUCACUGGUGAAGCCAUCUGAAAAAGAGGUGUUUGACAUAACUUUUGCAUGAGCCAGAGCCGAAGCUGAAAAACAUUUUUUAUCAUAUGCAGCAGAGUAUCUUUUUAAAAUUUUAGUUUAAUUGGCUGCAUUUUGUUCUGGUUAUUUUCUAAAAUUAUAUAUAUGCAAUUCAUAUAAUUAUCAUUUAACCAAGAAUAUAUGACAGGAUUAUAAGCCGUGACUUUAUAUAAACCGUAAUUUUAACUGGGAAUAUUUAAAUUGUUUUUCAUCAUUGCAUUUUGUUUUAGUCUCGAAGGGUGCCGUGCUUUUCAUUUAGGUCCUUGUUUUAAUCUCGAUCCACCGGAAUUGGGUGUUUAAAUCUCUAGCAAGUUUGGUUGUAUAAAUAUAUCAUUUGAAUAUUCGUUCUUUUUGUAUGGGUCUAUUUACAGAACGCUUGGUUGUGAACACGAAUAUUC